UCAAGGUGGGUAACAAAGACCCUUCAGCAUGCAAUAGGAGCUCCUCCUGGAGGGUUUCCAUCGCCAUCGUCAUCGUCAUCAUCAUCGUCCUUGUGGAACUUCAACACUGCGCCUAAUAUUGGACCAAACGCAGUGCUCUUGUUUUUCUUCUUGGGUGGUUGUUGUUUCUUUUGCUGAAGAAGCUGCAAAAGUCAAUUCCUUAAUCUUGAGAAAAUUAAUUGGAUCCACACAUAUAUACAGACUAUGAUAUCUGUACGAAUAAACUAAGUUCCAAGAAAUUAACUAGUGGAAAAUAUAUACAAGGCUUACCUUCUUAAGUGCUGCUCUCAUUUCACUGCUAAACAUAUCUUUGUUUGCCUUACCAUACUCCAUUAGUUCUUUUGCAUUCAUGGUCUCCAGCCUUGCCAGCUGCCAACCAUGUCAUUGUAUACAGAAAUGAUGAGCAAGUAUAUAUGAUACAGUUGUGCUAAAAAUAAAUUAAAUAUAUGUUCUUUUGAUUCCUAGCUAAGAAAAGGUGCUGCCUCGGUCGAACGUUGUUUGUGAAACAACGAGAUUGUAAACAACUAAACAUUGAGACACUCUCCCAAGUAACCAAAAGUACAAAUAACAAAAUUGAUUAUAUAUCAUGAUACCAUUUACCCAUGCUUUGAAUUCCUUGAUGUGCCCCCUUACUGAAUUAUCUUCAUUAUCACCU
rnacentral:lncRNA from 1 species